AGACUUCAGGGAGUGGCUGGAAAGCCAGAGGUAGGUCAUGAAACCCAAACCCAGGGAAACUGAGCACCUCCUGUGUCAACAUCAUGGAAUGGUGACUGUGGAUGUAAAAGAGAAGUCUCAGGACAGAAGCCAGGUGAAAGAAGGUUUGCCACCCUCUGAACAGCUGGAGAGAUCUUUGACCCUGCAGGGCUCCCUGCUGCCCUUGGGAUAAAGUCUAGAAUAUGUAGGGCGCCGAGCAUACCAAGGCCUACAUCAGACUUCACUGCUUCACGACUCCCUUCAUGCUACACUCCAGCCUAACAGAUUUCUUUUUUUCCAAUUAACGUGUGUCCCUACCUGACAUUAGAUCAUCUCACCUGUUAAUUGCCUGUUUCCCUGGCAACUGUGAGAGCAGGGACAUCAUCUGUCUUGUGUGCUGCUGUAUCGCCAUCAUUUCACACAGCAUCUGCCCCAUAGCAGGCCUCAGUAAAGAUUUGGUGAAUAAAUGAAUGGGCUGUCUGGAUCAGUAUGACUUGGGGCAAGUCAUGGGGGCUCCAUCUCCCAGUGGACACCUCAGGGUGUCCAUCUCAGGCUAGCCUUGCAGCCUGAGUCUCAGGGCUGGAAGGAGCUGAAGAACAGAGACCUAAAGGAUAAGCAGCCAGCCAUAUGACUCUGGGGAGAGCGUGCACCAGGAAGCAGGAGCAGCAAUUGCAAAAGGUCCUGCAGCAGGAUGACAAUAGGAGAUAUUGGGAGACGAGGCUGGAGAGUUAGCAGGACCUUGAGUCAGGUGAUUUCAUCCCACCACCUCCACAGUCACAGAUGGGGGAGAUAACAAAUGUUUCUGCAGUGUCUCCUAUGUGCCAGUUGUCCCACCUCUAGCUGUGCUCACCGUGAACCUUGCAACAGCCUGUGAAGCUGUAUUCUUUCCAGUUCACAAAGGAAAAUGGACCUCUGUCGGCUCAGUAAUUUAUCCAUAGUCACGCAGCUGUGCAAGUCUAAGCAUCAAAGACUCUUUCCACCACACAUCACUGCCCUUGGCCAUCACCUCACCUUAGGUGUGUGAUUCCACUUCUUCCCUCCUUUCUGGCUUUGCUCUAAUUUGAUGACCAAAAUUAUAUAUCAUUCUCUAGGCCAAAAAACAACUUUGAUGCCUACUUGACAUAUCUACUUGGGAUAUCCAACAUGCAGCUCACAUGUAAUAUGCCUCAAACAGAAACCUGGGAAUCAGAUUUCUCUUUCCCUCACCCCCACAUCCCAUCCACCAACAAAUCUUGGUCACCCCACC